rnacentral:rRNA from 1 species
CGUAAGCGCACGCAGGCGGUCAAUUAAGUCAGAUGUGAAAGCCCCGAGCUUAACUUGGGAAUUGCAUCUGAAACUGGUUGGCUAGAGUCUUGUAGAGGGGGGUAGAAUUCCAUGUGUAGCGGUGAAAUGCGUAGAGAUGUGGAGGAAUACCGGUGGCGAAGGCGGCCCCCUGGACAAAGACUGACGCUCAGGUGCGAAAGCGUGGGGAGCAAACAGGAUUAGAUACC